rnacentral:rRNA from 1 species
UUGGCUCAGGAUGAACGCUGGCGGCGCACAUAAGACAUGCAAGUCGAACGAACGGAAGCUAUUCUUAUAGAUUAGUGAAAGUUAGUGGCGGACUGGUGAGUAAUGUAUAAGUAACCUGCCUAUUAGAGGGGAACAACAGUUGGAAACGACUGCUAAUACCGCAUAUGCCAUAUGGUUCGCAUGAACCGAGUGGGAAAGGAGCAAUCCGCUGAUAGAUGGACUUAUAUCUGAUUAGCUAGUUGGUGAGGUAACGGCUUACCAAGGCGACGAUCAGUAGCCGGACUGAGAGGUUGAACGGCCACAUUGGGACUGAGAUACGGCCCAGACUCCUACGGGAGGCAGCAGUGGGGAAUA